UACGUAGGGGGCAAGCGUUGUCCGGAUUUAUUGGGCGUAAAGAGCGUGUAGGCGGCCAUGCAGGUCAGCUGUGAAAAACUCGAGGCUCAACCCUCGAGACGUCGGUUGAAACCGUAUGGCUAGAGUCCGGAAGAGGAGAGUGGAAUUCCCGGUGUAGCGGUGAAAUGCGCAGAUAUCGGGAAGAACACCCAUGGCGAAGGCAGCUCUCUGGGACGGUACUGACGCUGAGACGCGAAAAGCGUGGGGAGCAAACAGG
rnacentral:rRNA from 1 species